rnacentral:rRNA from 1 species
UACGGAGGGUGCAAGCGUUGCUCGGAAUUAUUGGGCGUAAAGGGUAGGUAGGUUGUCUCAUUUGUCUGAGGUGAAAUCCUUGAGCUUAACUCAAGAAGUGCCUUAGAAACGGUGAGACUAGAGUUCUGGAGAGGGUCGUGGAAUUCCCGGUGUAGCGGUGAAAUGCGUAGAGAUCGGGAGGAACACCAGAGGCGAAGGCGGCGACCUGGACAGUAACUGACGCUGAGGAGCGAAAGCGUGGGGAGCGAACAGG